AUAACUUGGUGGGGGGUCUUGGGGUCCUCCCAUUUUUGGGGGUGUCUAAAGCACAUUUCCUUAAUUUCUACACAAUCUAAUAUGACCCAUGACCCUUCUAGCAGUCUCUAUUUAGAACAACAAAAAGUCAACAAAAAUGCCCACAGUCAUCAAGCUAGCCAGACCGCCCAGCCAGCCAGCCCGAGCUACCUGCGCACCCAGACUGAGCAGACCAGCAGCUAGGGAUUGCCUAAAUAGCAGUUACCUUGCCAGCUAGAUCAGUCAACUAAACAGUAGCCAGUUUCUGCUCAGCUUGCACAACUCGGAGAAAAAGCACGAUACAGACAGCAGCUGCCUCUUCAUCUCUCCGGUGCUGGUCCUAUACGCCAGCCUUUCAGGAGCUUUGCCUUCACACAGCCUGUCAGCACGAUCUGUGGUGUCCAUGUGGUCCUAACUCCACCCGGCUGAAACUGGAAAACAGCCUACCCGACCGCUCUGAGGUGUCUGCGUGGUCCUGAAGCACACCGGCACCACGUUUUGUAUCACAGUGCAAUGAUAAAACUGGGGGGACAAAUAUGCAAUUUCAGAAUGUGGGGGGGACAUGUCCCGUCUCCCCCCC
rnacentral:lncRNA from 1 species